AUUGAACGCUGGCGGCAGGCUUAACACAUGCAAGUCGAGCGGGGUGAUGGUGCUUGCACUAUCACUUAGCGGCGGACGGGUGAGUAAUGCUUAGGAAUCUGCCUAUUAGUGGGGGACAACAUCUCGAAAGGGAUGCUAAUACCGCAUACGUCCUACGGGAGGAAGCAGGGGAUCACUUGUGACCUUGCGCUAAUAGAUGAGCCUAAGUCGGAUUAGCUAGUUGGUGGGGUAAAGGCCUACCAAGGCGACGAUCUGUAGCGGGUCUGAGAGGAUGAUCCGCCACACUGGGACUGAGACACGGCCCAGACUCCUACGGGAGGCAGCAGUGAGGAAUAUUGGACAAUGGGGGGAACCCUGAUCCAGCCAUGCCGCGUGUGUGAAGAAGGCCUUAUGGUUGUAAAGCACUUUAAGCGAGGAGGAGGCUCUUUUGGUUAAUACCCAAGAUGAGUGGACGUUACUCGCAGAAUAAGCACCGGCUAACUCUGUGCCAGCCGCCGCGGUAA
rnacentral:rRNA from 1 species